AAAAUGAUAAAUGCAAAAAAAUUAAAAAGUUUAUGUAUCGAAUUAGCUCUUAUUUUAAAUCAAGAGGUUAAUUGAGCACUUGUGAGAAUUGGGACUAAUAGAUGAACCU